AUUCUGCCCAUGCGGGGAAGGAUGAGAAGCUUCGACUAAGGUUCGGCUCGAGCGUCAGCGAGAGAGCGUUGCCGCAGGCAACGACCCGAAGGGCGAAGCGCGCAGCGCU
rnacentral:sRNA from 1 species